rnacentral:tRNA from 1 species
GAGUUUGUAGCUUAAAGUAAAGUUUCAAUUUGUCACAUUGAAGGAUGCCCCCUCGUAAGGGGUCAAACUCG